UACGGAGGAUGCGAGCGUUAUCCGGAUUUAUUGGGUUUAAAGGGAGCGUAGACGGGGGAUUAAGUCAGUUGUGAAAGGCUGCGGCUCAACCGCAGCACUGCAGUUGAUACUGGUUCCCUUGAGUGCGGUUGAGGUAUGUGGAAUUCGUGGUGUAGCGGUGAAAUGCUUAGAUAUCACGAAGAACUCCGAUUGCGAAGGCAGCAUACUAAGCCGUAACUGACGUUGAGGCUCAAAAGUGUGGGUAUCAAACAGG
rnacentral:rRNA from 1 species